ACCCGCUGAACUUAAGCAAAUCAAUAAGCGGAGGAAAAGAAACCAACAGGGAUUACCUCAGUAACGGCGAGUGAAGCGGUAAAAGCUCAAAUUUGAAAUCUCCUUCGGGCGAAUUGUAAUUUGUAGAGAAGUGUUCAGUUUAGAUAUUAAGUUAAGUUUUUUGGAAUGAAACGCCUUGGAGGGUGAGAGCCCCGUAUACUUAAUUAUCGACUACUAUGUGAACCUUCUUCGAAGAGUCGAGUUGUUUGGGAAUGCAGCUCUAAAUUGGUGGUAAAUUCCAUCUAAAGCUAAAUAUUGGCCAGAGACCGAUAGCGCACAAGUAGAGUGAUCGAAAGAUGAAAAGCACUUUGGAAAGAGAGUGAAAUAGUACGUGAAAUUGUUGAAAGGGAAGCGCUUACAAUUAGACUUGUUUUUAUGAAUGUUCAGCUUUCUUAAUUAGAAAGUGUACUCAAUCAUAAUCAGGCCAACAUCAAUUUGAGUAGUUGGAAAAAGGUUUUGGUAAUGUGACUUGUCUUCGGACAAGUGUUAUAGACCAUUUCAUAAUACAGCUUACUUGGAUUGAGGACAGCAUUUUUUAUGGAUGUUGGCGUAAUAAUUGUCAGCGGCCCGUCUUGAAACACGG
rnacentral:rRNA from 1 species